AAUACAAACUUAAAAACAACAGUCAAAUUUCUUCUGCCCAUUCUUCUAGAUUGUUGAAAAAAUCAUAUGAUGCUGUUAAAACAUCUACAGUGAAAUCUUCUUUGAAGUACGACCAUUUAAAAUCAUCACCUAUAACUGAAUCUCCAUUGCUGUCAAGCAUUCAAGAUGCAGUUUGCCAUCAGACUUCUGAUGCUACAAAAUAUACUUCUGAAGAAACUGAAACACUUUCAGAUAAUUCUGAAAAAGAGUUAGAGUGGAAUGCAAAUUACUUUGAAAGGCACUAUGUUAAAAUUGUAUCUGAAAAACAAAGGCUUCGUUAUAUAACUGUUUAUAAUGAUGAUGUCCAUGCAUACAACGAGUUAUGGAAACAGAUUUCAGCAGUUCGUAACAAUUUUGUAGCUUUACAAAAGCAACUUGAAGAAUGUGAAAAAGGAUCAGCUGAAUAUCAAAGACUUGAGAAAAAAAUCCAGGAAGAGUAUGAAGCAGCUAAUAAUUUUGAAUAUAAAAAUAAGCGCAAAGAAUCCUUCUAUUUGUAUGGAAAAUUAUGCCAUAUCAAGAAAUUACUAGAUCAGUAUGAUCUAGAACAGAGAAAAUCUAAGUAAAAAGUAACAUGUAUUUCUCCUUUAUUAUUUUCUUAAAUAGCUUAUAGAAUGAAAAUUUUCUAUGAAAAUGUAGAAAAGAUGAUAAGGUCAAAAACGAGUUAAAGCAAUACUGAGGGUGCAAUUUUCAAUGCUAUUCAAAUAAGAAGUUAAUUUUAUUAUAUAAAAUGUUAAACAUGAGAAAUUCUUGAAAAUAUUUUUCUGUUAGUUCAGGGUUUGUAUAUCUAUGCUACAUAUAAUUCCAGAAGUAUACUAUUUAUAUACUAGAAUAUUA